rnacentral:rasiRNA from 1 species
UUCCGAAUUAAUGUUGGCCAAUUUCC